rnacentral:lncRNA from 1 species
GUCCGAGGAAGAAUCGCACCCUAAGGGUGUGAUGUAAACAACCUACUCUAAUGCAGGCAUUUAUGGCUGCUACCACGGCUCGAACUCGUGACUUAUAGGUAACACAGAUACAACUUUACUGUUGCUCCAAGGUUCCCCUUCGCAUCUCCAAAUACAAUAGAGUAACAAUGAAAAAAAAAUGAUAAUCAGAUGUGAUAUCUGUGACCAAAACAGUAGACUGCUUAACAAACAGUUUGCUACUAUCAAAUCGUGAAAAAAAAUGAUAAGCAGAUGUGAUAUCUAUGACCAAAACAGUAGACUACUUAACAAACAGUUUGCUACUAUCAAAUCAUGUUGCUCUCUACCAAAUUUGUUGUCCUUGUCCUCCAACAAAGCUUUUAACUCCCUGGUAUCCACAUUAAUAUAAAAUAAUAACCUUUCUCUCUAAACAAGAAUUCAGUCAAACAGUCAUGGAUAGAUAGUGUGCUGCACUCUCUUUGCCUUAGUUCACACUCUCGUAUCAUACGAACGGGGAAGAUAUCACAAUACUCCAUUCCAAAUCAAAGCAGUUGGAGAAAAUAUCAAACUGGUCAACAUCAUAGCAACCAUAGCAUAAGUUGUUACUUAAAUUACAAUGAAAGCAACAGAGUAAUCUUUCUGUUUUCUUAAUUUGUUAAUCAUUUUCAAGGGUUUUAGUUUUUUAUAUUUAAUAUAUAUAAAUAAAAAUAAUUAUAUAUACAUAUAUAUACAUAUAUACAUAUAUAUAUAUAUAUAUAUAUAUAUAUGUAUAUAUAUAUAUAAUAUAUAUUUUAUAUUCUUAACGGGUUAACGGUUUAGCCGUUAAGAAAAUUGAAUAAUCCAUCCCCAAACCGAU